rnacentral:lncRNA from 1 species
AGCUGUGUAUCAGGACUACUGUGUGGGGAAAUCAGUGUUCCAGGAAGUUGGCCUGCAGAGCUGGGGCAGCCUCUGUUUUCCAGGCCUGGAAGUCCUUGAUGCAUGAAGACACUUACCUUGCCUCCCUAUCUUGGCUAUUGGGAAUAAUGUUGCAAUGGAUGUGAGAUUGGAGAUAUGUCUUUGAGAUCCUGUUUUCAUUUCCUUUGGAUAUAUACUCAGAAGUGAGAUUGCAGGAUCAUGUGGUGAAUCUUUCAAAGCUGGGCUGGGGGCCUUGAUCAGGAUUGGGUAAAGAUCACCAUGCAACUGUCCCAGAGUGGCGGAAAUAGCAAGGUGAAGAUUUUGAAGAAACAGAGUGAAAGAAUAUUAGGGGUAAACAGUGUGAAUGUUUCCAAUUGAAGAAUUGAUAGAUCUUUUGGGAAAUUUCCAUAAUGUAAUAAAACCAGUGGUCUGGACAGGAGACUCCUGGAAGAAUAAAG